GGAUGGCUCAGUGGCAGAGCGGCGGAUUGCAAUCCGUCCCUAUCGCUGGUUCCACUCCAGUGGAGAUCCA
rnacentral:tRNA from 1 species